AUUGAACGCUGGCGGCAGGCCUAACACAUGCAAGUCGAACGGUAACAGGAAGCAGCUUGCUGCUUUGCUGACGAGUGGCGGACGGGUGAGUAAUGUCUGGGAAACUUCCCGAUGGAGGGGGAUAACUACUGGAAACGGUAGCUAAUACCGCAUAACGUCGCAAGACCAAAGAGGGGGACCUUAGGGCCUCUUGCCAUCGGAUGUGCCCAGAUGGGAUUAGCUAGUAGGUGGGGUAACGGCUCACCUAGGCGACGAUCCCUAGCUGGUCUGAGAGGAUGACCAGCCACACUGGAACUGAGACACGGUCCAGACUCCUACGGGAGGCAGCAGUGGGGAAUAUUGCACAAUGGGCGCAAGCCUGAUGCAGCCAUGCCGCGUGUAUGAAGAAGGCCUUCGGGUUGUAAAGUACUUUCAGCGGGGAGGAAGGGAGUAAAGUUAAUACCUUGGCUCAUUGACGUUACCCGCAGAAGAAGCACCGGCUAACUCCGUG
rnacentral:rRNA from 1 species